rnacentral:rRNA from 1 species
CCUACGGGAGGCAGCAGUGAGGAAUAUUGGUCAAUGGACGAGAGUCUGAACCAGCCAAGUAGCGUGAAGGAUGACUGCCCUAUGGGUUGUAAACUUCUUUUAUAAAGGAAUAAAGUGAGGCACGUGUGCCUUUUUGUAUGUACUUUAUGAAUAAGGAUCGGCUAACUCCGUGCCAGCAGCCGCGGUAAUACGGAGGAUCCGAGCGUUAUCCGGAUUUAUUGGGUUUAAAGGGAGCGUAGAUGGGUUGUUAAGUCAGUUGUGAAAGUUUGCGGCUCAACCGUAAAAUUGCAAUUGAUACUGGCAGCCUUGAGUACAGUUGAGGUAGGCGGAAUUCGUGGUGUAGCGGUGAAAUGCUUAGAUAUCACGAGGAACCCCGAUUGCGAAGGCAGCCUGCCGGGGUGCGACUGACGCUGAGGCUCGAAGGUGCGGGUAUCAAACAGGAUUAGAUACCCUGGUAGUC